rnacentral:rRNA from 1 species
AUUGAACGCUGGCGGAAUGCUUUACACAUGCAAGUCGAACGGCAGCACGGGGCAACCUGGUGGCGAGUGGCGAACGGGUGAGUAAUACAUCGGAACGUGCCCAAUCGUGGGGGAUAACGUAGCGAAAGUUACGCUAAUACCGCAUACGAUCUACGGAUGAAAGCGGGGGAUCGCAAGACCUCGCGCGAAUGGAGCGGCCGAUGUCAGAUUAGGUAGUUGGUGGGGUAAAGGCUCACCAAGCCGACGAUCUGUAGCUGGUCUGAGAGGACGACCAGCCACACUGGGACUGAGACACGGCCCAGACUCCUACGGGAGGCAGCAGUGGGGAAUUUUUGGGACAAUGGGCGCAAGCCUGAUCCAGCCAUUCCGCGUGCAGGAUGAAGG